AAUAAUACAAUGACUAAAAAUAUGUCAAAUUUAUAUUAAAAUAUAUAAAUAAUUCUACUUUAAUAACACUAAUUAAUAUAAAAUAUAUUAAAGAUAAUUAAUCAACGUAUUGAUAAAUUAAUAGUGCCAGCAAUCGCGGUUAUACUUUACAUAUAUAAUAUUCAAACAAUUUGAUUUUCAACAAUAACAAUACUUAUAAUAUUAAGUGAAAUUUCAUUAAAAAUUAAAACAACUUCAAUAACAAAUAAAAUCUUUCAUAUAAAAUAGGAUUAGAAACCCUAGUAUACUAAAACUUUAUUAGGUAGUAUUAAUUAUAAAAACCUAAUUAUAAUGGCGGCUCUUGUCUUAUUAGAGGAACUUGUUCCAUAAUCGAUAACCCCCGAUAACUUUCACUUCUAAAACAAACUUAUAUAUCACCAUCUAAAGAGAUUUUUCAAAUUAUUUCUCUAAAUAACAAAAUAAAAAGUUAGGUCAAGGUGUAGUCUACAUAAAAGAGAUCAAUGAGUUACACUAAUACCAAUUUAAGAAUAAUAAAAAUAAACUUUCAUUUGAAAAAGGAUUUAUAAGUAAUCUUUCAAUAUUAUUAUAACAUGAAUUAUAAUACAAAAGUGCACAUAUCGCCCGUCACCCUUAUCACAAGAUAAGGUAAGUCGUAACACAGUUGAUAUUUUGGAAAAAGUAUCAAG
rnacentral:rRNA from 1 species